AAACAAAAAAAAAAAUGGACGACGAUACGGAUAUCUUUGACAUAGAUCCAAAGGAAGCUUGGCUAGAAAAAAUCACCAUAGGCGGCUUUCGGCGCUGGCACAUCAUAGCCUCCGUUCUGGGCAUACUAAUGAGUAUUAUGAUAAUGGUCUGCUGCUGCAUACGCUUUCGCAUACCGCGCACCAAACAGGAAAUCGAAGCCGACUAUCAACGCAAACAGAUAACCAAAAAGUUUCGCGAAAAAUUGCAACAAAUCAAAAACUCCGAAAUGGACGAUAUGGAUCUGCAGAAAGCACUUGCUUAUAUCAAAUUGGAACAAUAUGAUGAUCCCUAGAGCCUUUCUAGAAAUUCACCAUAAAAAAAAAAAAAUAAGCACUAUUGGAAUAAAUUUGUACUUCUAUGCUAAUCUAUAUAAGAAAUCACUGCCAAUUCUGUGCGCGCAUUCAGAGCGAUUAUCUGAACCUGCAGGCGAGCGUGGAAAGCAUGAACG